rnacentral:lncRNA from 1 species
GGGGCGCCGGGGGCGGUGUCCAGGCUCGGCUUUGAGCCCGGCGGCCGCGCCGAGCUGAGGUCAGCAGGACCACAACAACAGGCAAAAUGACAGCUGUGAGAUUUGAGCAAGGGACCCCGCCAAGAGAGUCAUCUGGAUCUCCAACAGCUGAAGAGGCCACAGUAAAGAUCGAUAAUGGUCAUGAUGAGGGUAAUGGACCAGACACCUGUCCCAAGUAAGCUAAUGAUAUACAGAAUUUCUUUGCUUACCCCCAGAAGUGGAAUCUGAUGAGCCAAAAUAAGAAG